GAAUAUUGGACAAUGGGCGAAAGCCUGAUCCAGCAAUGCCGCGUGAGUGAUGAAGGCCUUAGGGUUGUAAAGCUCUUUUACCCGGGAAGAUAAUGACUGUACCGGGAGAAUAAGCCCCGGCUAACUCCGUGCCAGCAGCCGCGGUAAUCCGGAGGGGGCUAGCGUUGUUCGGAAUUACUGGGCGUAAAGCGCACGUAGGCGGCUUUGUAAGUUAGAGGUGAAAGCCCGGAGCUCAACUCCGGAAUUGCCUUUAAGACUGCAUGGCUUGAACACGGGAGAGGUGAGUGGAAUUCCGAGUGUAGAGGUGAAAUUCGUAGAUAUUCGGAAGAACACCAGUGGCGAAGGCGGCUCACUGGACCGUUGUUGACGCUGAGGUGCGAAAGCGUGGGGAGCAAACAG
rnacentral:rRNA from 1 species